rnacentral:rRNA from 1 species
AUGGACGAGGACGACCACCACAACAUGCACGUGGUCGAGUUCACCGUCGCCUACUCCGGUGCGGUGCUGGACCAAGGACCUCCACCUCAACAGAUCCUAGCUUGGUUUGUUGAUACGUGCAGAUUGGUGGUCUUUGACUUUGCAACAGAUGUUAUUGUGCAUAUCAGUGCAGUCAGAUUCUACUUGCACAAGCACGUAGUUCUUCAGACACAGAAUGUUCAACUGUCGGGGUCUCUUUGUCAUGCCAUCAAGAUGGGAAGUCCGAUCAUUUGCUGCUCAAAAUCCGACAAAUCAGAGGAGGAAUGCGUGAGAAGCAAGUCUAUCAUCAAUGGCAAGCUCAACAAGAUGAACCAUACAGGCGAGGAAGCUCCCAGGCGCAACAACUCCUCCGUCCAAGUUGUGUGCUGGGCGUCGUCCACCCUGUUGGCCACCAGGACGUACGAGGCGACGAUUGGCAGUCUCGGUGGACCGGACGCCAACAUGCCAAUGAGGCUGAGAGACACAAACAGAACAAUGAAUUCAAGGUUUUGCAGGAUCCAACGUGUCACUAAGGCUGGCUGGUUGAUUGAUGCGGACUACCGCGACCCGGUGGGCAGUGUGCUCUUCAACGACUCGGAGGUGGACUUGGCUGUGAAGACCGGCGACCGUGUCGCACAGAUGAUCAUCCAGAUGUUCACUAUUGUAUCCAUGAAUGCUUCAAGUGUUAAAGAUGGUUCUGUGACCUGA